rnacentral:rRNA from 1 species
UACGUAGGGUGCAAGCGUUAAUCGGAAUUACUGGGCGUAAAGCGUGCGCAGGCGGUUCGCUGUGUCCUGUGUGAAAGCCCCGGGCUUAACCUGGGAAUGGCAUGGGAAACUGGCGGGCUGGAGUGUGGCAGAGGGGGGUGGAAUUCCGCGUGUAGCAGUGAAAUGCGUAGAGAUGCGGAGGAACACCGAUGGCGAAGGCAGCCCCCUGGGCUAACACUGACGCUCGAGGCACGAAAGCGUGGGGAGCAAACAGG